rnacentral:tRNA from 1 species
CGAAUAUCUUCAUAGGAGGCGUACACGUCGGGGGUAACUCAGACUUCCAAGAGAAGCUGAG